rnacentral:lncRNA from 1 species
GCCCAUCUUCUUUGGUUAACUAGUUUUAAAUUGGUUACUUUAUUUCCAAGUCAAAUAAACGUUACUGUAAAUACAGACUAAAAAUGCAGUGAAGAAUUAACCACUAAGCCAGAACGUCACAAUAUAUAUCUAUAUACAUAUGUGUAUUCUGUAGUAGAGGAUUGAUAAGAAGUAGUGGAUUCGUAAACGAAAUCAACGAGCGAC